GGAGUAUAAAGGGAAACUCAUUGAUGCAGCUGAAGCUAAACAUAGACGUAAACUGUACCACAAUGCAUGUUCGAUCUUCAUGUUUGACUUCAUAUGGAAGCGGAAGACAUGGUGUAUUGAUGGAGCACUUGAAGAUAGGUUAUUUGGGCGACUGGUAAACGAUGAGCGCAAAGCACCAAAUUGCAGAAUGAAGUUGAUCGAAGCAGAAGAGAAGCCACAUCUCUGCCUUUAUGCACUGAAGGAAAUUACGGCAGGAACUGAAAUAACUUAUGACUAUGGUGGGAAAGAAUGGCCCUGGUGUAAAGAGACACAGCUCAGUGGUGCAAGCAUCCCUUCUGGCCAACUCUCCGUUGCAGAGCUUAGUGACCACACCCAUAACUUGGAACCCAAUGUGUCCUCUACAGACUUAAUCAGAGGUGAGUCCCUAUCAUGUCCG